AAGGUAAGCUAGAGGAAGAUUUAGCUGAUUCUUUGUAUUUUACUUGUCGGUAUAUUACCGGCGUAUAUCAACUGAAUUUUUUUAUGUAUAUAUAUAAUGAUGUACAUCUUGAUACAUGACUCUGUUAUAAGAUACCGAAAACAAAUGACUUUUUGCAAGAGUGAGAAAUUUAUGUUAAUGUGAACUAAAUGUGUCUGUUUGUAGCUGAAGAUAGUUCAGUGAAGAGAGAGGAGGAGGAGAGAAGACGUCAUGAGAUCAUCAAGACAUUCCGUACAGCACCUUUCGAGGAAAUUGUUGCCAGGUCUGAAGCAAAGUCCAACCAUUUCCACAACAAGUUGAAUGAGAUUUUGUCUAUGGUAUCAAAAGGUUCAGACAGUCCGGGAACAUUGAGACGAGCUGCAGAUAAACCUGCCACUGUGUUUGACAUUCAGUAUCCCGAGCUAUAUGUGUACUAAAUGUUACAAUGUGGACAUUGUGUUACAUACGCGCUUUCUUCUUAAAAUGAUUAAUUAAUUUAUUUUAAAUACCGUGAUGGAUGAUGGUCCUUGCUGUCUUGGCUCGUCAGUACUGCCAUUAUUGGAUGAUUUCAUUACACAUCAGAGAAAAUCCAUCAUAAUUUUAUGGGGAAGUGUGUCCAUAUGUUUUACUCCACACGUAUUUUUAGACCAAUCCAUUAGGCCUCUGACUAAGAAGCACAAUGGGUUUUAAAGGCACAAUGGGCUUAAAGGGGAGAAGGUUCAUGGGAUAUACGACAUGUAUGCUAUAAACACAAAACAAAAUCUAACUUUAAAGCAGAUUUUUUGGUAAUUGGGAAUUUAAUAAUGACUCAAUUUCAAAGUUUUAAGAUCCAAAGUUACCGGUACUUAAAUUUGGUCAAUUUUUGAUGACACUGCACUGAAAAAAAAGACAUAAUUUUUUAACAGAACUAGCCAGUUACCAUUUGCAGACUUUGUAUAUUUUCUGGACUUAAUCCUGCAGUUAUGUGUUGUUUUGUGAUAUAGAUAACUGCUUUAAGUAAUUAUCUUACCUGUAAAAUAUGAGACCUACAAACUAAACUGCUAAUCAUUUAGAAAUAUGUAGAAUGGAAGAGAAUUUCAUAGACAAGUUAACAGUGGUUAGAAAGAAAAUUUUCAGUGUGAUAUUUAAAAGCAUAAAAAAUCUAAUAAGCUGUGAGUUACCCAUUCAUACACCUUAUAUUUAGCAAAGAAUUAGGCCAUCAUGAGCUGUAUUGAUGUAGUUUUUGUUACAUUUUGUAUUUACAUAGGGUACGUAGAACAAUUAUAAGCAUUAAGCAUUCUAGUCUUAAAGACCCAGGGCAGAGUAAAGGUAUUCUGUUGUGUUUGCAUGAUGGUGAUUUUACAUGCUUUGCAUGUAGGAAGGGAAAACAACAGUAUGAACUUGUUUUUUAUUUCAGUUAAAGAUGGCAUAAACAAUUAAAUUAUGUUUAUUUCUGAACUAGAAUAAUGCAAUGUUAUAAAAACAAAAGCUGAUAACACUGUCUAAAUGCAGAAAUUAAAAGCCAUUCUUUAAACUGGAGAUAUAACUGUAUUACAAUGUAUUAGGAGAUUGAUUUUCAUUAAGUUCACUGGUGGAAAAAGUAGGUUUUCCUGUGUCAUGAUGUCUCAGAUUCAGACUGGAAGUGUUGAUGAAUACUAGCUUACAUUCUAAUUAUAUCCCUGGUUUUUACAUGAAAGAUAUUACUUUGUAAUUCUGUGUAGAAAUGGAACUCAACUUUGAUUGGCAGAUUUAGAUGUUAGUGAAAUACAAACUUAAAGGUUUAUACAAGUAAUCAUGAGUGAUAUCAAGCUGUUCUAAGGGCAUUAUGUAUUUACAUGCAGAAACAGGAAGUUGUCUCUGAAUGGUAUAUUUAUAGAUAGAGUAAAUUUUUUCAUAAAAAGUACAUUUCUAAUCAUGUGAUUGCUCUUUCAUGAUAUAUUUGAUUUUUGUCAGAGCUGAGAUCAAUUUUAGUUCUGUAAGUCCGAGAGAAAGAAAAAAAAAGCUGACACAUCAAUAGAAUUUUGAUUGGUGUAGCCGAACUAUAUAAUUCUGGCAUUUUUCAAAACACACUUUCUUAAAUGAAUGAAAUGAAGCAAAGAAAUCAUAUCAUAAACAUAGCAAUUGUCGCAAUUAUUUUACUUACUUGGGGGAAUUACUAUAAUUAAAUUAUGAUAUAACACAUAUUUCUUUACAUAAAUCUUGAAUGUUUAUAAUUUUAUACUAGAUAGAUCAUGUAAAACUGUGAUUAGGGUUAGUGCAAUGUGCAAUAUUAUGUUAAUUACUUGUCAACAUUAUUCAUAAUGUUCACAGUCUCCAUUGUGUAUAAAAAAAAAACAACAUUAAAACAAAUAUAAAUUCAA